rfam:Lasius niger Lnig_2.1_23205, whole genome shotgun sequence.
AAAACGGUUCUUUUCAGAGCCACAAAUUAUUUGACGCAGGAACAAU